AUGUGUAGGAUAGGUGGGAGGCUUUGAAGUGUGGACGCCAGUCUGCAUGGAGCCGACCUUGAAAUACCACCCUUUAAUGUUUGAUGUUCUAACGUGGACCCGUUACCCGGGUUGCGGACAGUGUCUGGUGGGUAGUUUGACUGGGGCGGUCUCCUCCUAAAGAGUAACGGAGGAGCACGAAGGUUGGCUAAUCCUGGUCGGACAUCAGGAGGUUAGUGCAAUGGCAUAAGCCAGCUUGACUGCGAGCGUGACGGCGCGAGCAGGUGCGAAAGCAGGUCAUAGUGAUCCGGUGGUUCUGAAUGGAAGGGCCAUCGCUCAACGGAUAAAAGGUACUCCGGGGAUAACAGGCUGAUACCGCCCAAGAGUUCAUAUCGACGGCGGUGUUUGGCACCUCGAUGUCGGCUCAUCACAUCCUGGGGCUGAAGUAGGUCCCAAGGGUAUGGCUGUUCGCCAUUUAAAGUGGUACGCGAGCUGGGUUUAGAACGUCGUGAGACAGUUCGGUCCCUAUCUGCCGUGGGCGCUGGAGAACUGAGGGGGGCUGCUCCUAGUACGAGAGGACCGGAGUGGACGCAUCACUGGUGUUCGGGUUGUCAUGCCAAUGGCACUGCCCGGUAGCUAAAUGCGGAAGAGAUAAGUGCUGAAAGCAUCUAAGCACGAAACUUGCCCCGAG
rnacentral:rRNA from 2 species